rnacentral:rRNA from 1 species
UGCAAGUCGAGGGGUAUUAGUUUCGGACUAAGAGACCGGCGCACGGGUGCGUAACGCGUAUGCAAUCUACCUUUUACAGAGGGAUAGCCCAGAGAAAUUUGGAUUAAUACCUCAUAGUAUAGCAGUUUCGCAUGAAACCACUAUUAAAGUCACAACGGUAAAAGAUGAGCAUGCGUCCCAUUAGCUAGUUGGUAAGGUAACGGCUUACCAAGGCUACGAUGGGUAGGGGUCCUGAGAGGGAGAUCCCCCACACUGGUACUGAGACACGGACCAGACUCCUACGGGAGGCAGCAGUGAGGAAUAUUGGACAAUGGGCGCAAGCCUGAUCCAGCCAUGCCGCGUGCAGGAUGACGGUCCUAUGGAUUGUAAACUGCUUUUGUACGAGAAGAAACACUCCUAUGUAUAGGAGCUUGACGGUAUCGUAAGAAUAAGGAUCGGCUAACUCCGUGCCAGCAGCCGCGGUAAUACGGAGGAUCCAAGCGUUAUCCGGAAUCAUUGGGUUUAAAGGGUCCGUAGGCGGUUUAGUAAGUCAGUGGUGAAAGCCCAUCGCUCAACGGUGGAACGGCCAUUGAUACUGCUGAACUUGAAUUAUUAGGAAGUAACUAGAAUAUGUAGUGUAGCGGUGAAAUGCUUAGAGAUUACAUGGAUACCAAUUGCGAAGGCAGGUUACUACUAAUUGAUUGACGCUGAUGGACGAA